AUGUUUGCGUGCGAGCGUUCUGGCGUCCAGCUGUGCCCCGAGGCCCAGCUUGCAGACGGCGGGUCUCCGGGUCCCCGCAGGCAACGACACGUGCAGCCGCUCCGACCUGUCUGGUUAUCUACCGAGACCGCCAGCCGACCUCGGCGGCCGCCGCGGGGCCCACCCCGACCACAGAGGCCCCAACUAUUGGACAGAGGCUGGAAAAGUUUUCUUCCCAUGACUUUUGGCAGUAAAGAUGGGAUGGUUGGGACUCUCCACUCUCAGGGGACUGCUGCUGAGAUCCCCGGACCUUUGACCAUGCCAGCGAAGGUAAACUUUAUUUUACCAGUUAGGAUCCUGGGUCUCCGCCAGACUCUGGCCAAGCAAGGACAGUAAGAGCCUCUCUCUGCCUUUCUGAAAAAGAUUUUCCAAAUUUUUGAUUUACAGAAGGAAAUUUUUGGUUAAAGCCAGUUCUUUGCUGUUUUUAAACAAGGGAGGAACAGCCAAAAAAAAAUCACCCAAGGCAAGAUUAAAGGGACCAGGGAAACUUAUCAAGAUUAGGAGACUGGCCACCUGGGAGAUGAGAUGAAGGGACUGCCAACCCUGCUCACAGCCUGAUUUUGUCCGAGACCCCAGCUUUGAACCACUGUUCUCAAACCCUUCAUCAAAUUCUCUAGGGUGGAGACCACCUGAGACAGGAUUAAGGGAGUGCAGGCCCUGCACACACCCUGAUCUUGAGAGGAACCCCACCCUUAAAUUGUUCCUAUAAAGAGUGUUAGUCCCUUAGUCGUGUCUGACUCUGCAAACCCCCCCGGACCGUAGCCCCCCAGUUUCCUCUAUCCAUGGAAUUCUCCAGGCAAGAGCAGUGGACUGCGUUGCCAUUCCCUUCUCCAGUGGAUCUUCUUGACUCAGGGACUGAAGCUGGGUCUCCUACAUUGCAGGCAGAUUUUUUUACUGUCUGAGCCACCAGGGAAGCCCCUUGCUAUAAAACUCCUUAUCAAAUCCUCCUGGGUUGGGACUUAUGCUUUCUGGGGGACAGGCACCCACCAUGUCCCCCUUUACCUGGGAAAGCAAUAAAGCCAUUCUUUUCUACGUCAUUCCCUCCCAGUCUGCUCCUCCCAUCCCUGAGUUCUUUGGAUAUUGGGACUUUUGUUACAGGCAGCUGUUCUGUCUGUCUUUUGUGCUACUGUUUUGUCUUGUGGUAGCUAAAAGUGUUGUUUCCUGAGAACCUGGUUUUGGUAACUGAAAAGUUUACUCUGGUUUUCUACUUGCUUAAGGUGUUGGAGAAGCCGCUUGAGAGUCCCUUGGACUGCAAGGAGAUCCAACCAGUCCAUUCUGAAGGAGAUCAGCCCUGGGAUUUCUUUAGAAGGAAUGAUGCUGAAGCUGAAACUCCAGUACUUUGGCCACCUCAUUCGAAGAGUUGACUCAUUGGAAAAGACUCUGAUGCUGGGAGGGAUUGGGAGCAGGAGAAGGGGACGACAGAGGAUGAGAUGGCUGGAUGGCAUUACUGACUCGAUGGAUGUGAGUCUGAGUGAAUUCCAGGAGAUGGUGAUGGACAGGGAGGCGUGGUGUGCUGCGAUUCAUGGGGUCACAAAGAGUCGGACAUGACUGAACGACUGAACUGAACUGAACUGAUCUGAAGGGUAGAAAUGGGGCUUCCCAGGUGGCGCUAGAGAUAAAAAGCCCACCUGCCAAUGCAGGAGACUUAAGAGUAGCAGAUUUGAUCUCUGGGUUGGGAAGAUCCCCUGGAGAAGGCAAUGGCAACCCACCCCAGUAUUCUUGCUUGGGAAAUCCCAUGGACAGAGGAGCCUGGUGGGCUACAGUCCAUGGGGCCGAAAGGAGUCGGACACGACUGAAAUAUGGGUAGUCUGGGUACCACAUCUGAAGUGGGGUUCUACUGACCAUUAGCAACUCUCAGGGAAUUCAUCGAAAUUUAAAUCUUGAAAGGUCUCAUCCUGUAAGGACUCUUGUCUCUCUCGCCACUGCCUCUGUUCAUCGCUAUGGCAAUGAGAUGCUUCCUUCCUUCCUCCUUGGCUAUCUUUGGGUAUGAGGGUUGCACCUGCUGUGCCCUCUUUGAUUUUUGGCCCUGUGAAGUAAAAAAACGUGAAGAAAGCGAAAAGUCGCUAAGUUGUGUCCAACUCUUUGCGACCCCACGGACUGUAGCCCACCAGGCUCCUCUGUCCAUGGAGAUUCUCCAGGCAAGAAUGCUGGAGUGGGUUGCCAUGCCCUCCUCCAGGGGAUCUUCUCACCCCAGGGACUGAGGAGCCUGGUGGGCUACAGUCCAUG
ensembl:lncRNA